rnacentral:rRNA from 1 species
UACGUAGGGUGCAAGCGUUGUCCGGAUUCACUGGGUGUAAAGGGUGCGCAGGCGGGCUCUUAAGUCAAAGGUGAAAUCUCACGGCUUAACCGUGAAAUUGCCUUUGAUACUGAGAGUCUUGAGUACGGGAGAGGGAGAUGGAAUUCCAGGUGUAGCGGUGAAAUGCGUAGAUAUCUGGAGGAACACCGGAGGCGAAGGCGGUCUCCUGGCCCGUUACUGACGCUCAUGCACGAAAGCGUGGGGAGCAAACAGGAUUAGAUACCCCCGUAGUCC